UUUUUGGCCCUCGAGGGAGGUCACGACCUCACAGCCAUCUGCGAUGCAUCUGAAGCCUGUGUUAGUGCACUGCUGGGUAUACAGGAUGCAAUGCCAGAGGAAGUUCUGCGCCCAAAACCCAACGCCAACGCCGUCCGCUCCCUUCAGAAGGUCAUAGAAAUACAAAGUCAGUACUGGCAGAGCAUCAA